rnacentral:lncRNA from 1 species
CUUGGAGACUGAGGCAAGAUUAGGGGAUAUUAGGGAAUGUGUCCAGGGGCAUGACCUCUAUCUCCCAGAGAAGUUUGAUCAGAAGUAGAGGAUCUUCCUGGACCUCCAGGAUGUUCAAUAGUUCUGGCUCAGUGCUCUGCUCUCAUUCCAUGGAUUCGAAGUACAAAUAGUUUCCCCCUUGAUGAACCUUUCAGAUCCUUUCUAACCCUAGCAGCAGUUUACUCUUUUUUUUUGAGGAAGAUUAACCCUGAGCUAACUACUGCCAAUCCUCCUCUUUUUGCUGAGGAAGACUGGCCCUGAGCUAACAUCCAUGCCCAUCUUCCUCUGCUUUAUACGUGGGACGCCUACCACAGAAUGGCUUUUGCCAAGCGGUGCCAUGUCCACACCCGGGAUCCGAACCAGCAAACGCCGGGCCGCUGAGAAGCGGAACGUGCAAACUUAACUGCUGCGCCGCCGGGCCAGCCCCAGCAGUUUACCUUUAAUGUCGUUUUUCCACGGGGGACCAGCAACUACCCAGAAUUCCUGGAGAGGAUGGAGAUUAGCCCUGAGCUAACAUCUGCUCCCAAUCCUCCUCUUUUUGCUGAGGAAGCCUGGCCCUGAGCUAACAUCCGUGCCCAUCUUCCUCUAUUUUAUAUGUGGGACGCCUACCACAGCAUGGCUUGAUGAGCGGUGCCAUGUCCACAUCCGGGAUCUGAACCGGCGAACCCCGGGCCGCCGAAGCCGAACGUGCGCACUUUAACUGCUGCACCACCAGGCCGGCCCCAAGACGAUGAUUUUUUUCUGAUAGAAUGAGGGAAGGAUAUAAGAUGGACUACUCCAAGGCUUCAAGCUUAAGUAACAGGUAGAAGGCUAGUGCUUUUAACAGAAAUAGGAAAACCAGGAACUAGAACUAAUACUAUUUUAAUAUUCUGAUGAUGAAUUUUAUUUUAGAUACGGGUUUGAAAUGAUGGCUAAACAUACUAGAGGAAAUGCUAGCAGGCAGUUAAUUGUAAAGGCAGGAUUGGAGUUCGUGAGAAAAGUCAGCACUGAAGAUAGAUUUGAGUAUCAUCUGCUUUAAUGUGAC